rnacentral:rRNA from 1 species
UACAGAGGUCUCAAGCGUUGUUCGGAUUCAUUGGGCGUAAAGGGUGCGUAGGCGGCGGGGUAAGUCUGAUGUGAAAUCCCGGGGCUCAACCCCGGAACUGCAUUGGAUACUGCCCUGCUUGAGUACUGGAGAGGAGACUGGAAUUUACGGUGUAGCAGUGAAAUGCGUAGAGAUCGUAAGGAAGACCAGUGGCGAAGGCGAGUCUCUGGACAGUUACUGACGCUGAGGCACGAAGGCCAGGGAGCAAACGGG